CAGUUGUUCCGCCAGGAGCAGUGCUGGGUAGCUAUGAUCGGACAGGAUAACCGCUGAAGGCAUCUAAGCGGGAAGCCCCCUUCAAAACAAGAUCUCCCUGAGAACCGAGGUAGACCACCUCGUCGAUAGGCCAGAGAUGUAAGUGCAGCAAUGCACUCAGUUGACUGGUACUAAUUGUUCGAUAGGCUUGAUUUG
rnacentral:rRNA from 1 species